GACGUAGGGGGCGAGCGUUGUCCGGAGUUACUGGGCGUAAAGGGCACGCAGGCGGUCGGGUGCGUUUGGGGUGACAGGGGUCGGCUUCACUGACCCAGGGCCUCGAAAACGGCCUGACUUGAGGCGUGGAGAGGGACCGAGAAUUCCGGGUGGAGUGGUGAAAUGCGUAGAGAUCCGGAGGAAUACCCAAGGCGAAGGCACGGUCCUGGCCACGACCUGACGCUGAGGUGCGAAAGCCAGGGGAGCGAACGGGAUUAGAUACCCCGGUAGUCCUGGCCGUAAACGAUGACCACGCGACGUGGGAGGGCUCGACCCCUUCCGUGUCGGAGCUAACGCGGUAAGUGGUCCGCCUGGGGAGUACGGUCGCAAGAUUAAA
rnacentral:rRNA from 1 species